CAAAGUAUAUAUAAAAACUACAACAAAAAUAGAUGGUAGCUAUCAUUACUAGAAGGGAGGAAGUGCUGAAGAGUCUCAGAGGCUGUGAAAAGCAGAGGCAGCACCGGGAAGGGGGAAAGAGGGGUGUGUGGCAAGGGAGCAGAGGACAGCAGCCACUGUAUGACAGCAAGUGUCUUGAUAAAUGGGACUAUGAAACCUAACCUCAGAGAUGCAGAGGCUGAGCUACAGCACCAAGCACCAGCCUACCAGGAGAGAAAACCCCACAGUGACUUUUCUUGCUCAGACAAGUUCACAAAAUUAGAAGUGAAAAUAAAUUUUAAGUAACAAAAGGACUCAAGGUGGCAUUAAUAAAAUCCUGUUUGAAAUGAA